ACACACACACACACACACACACGCACACACACACGCACACACACACACACUUCAAUUCAGUUAACAGUUCUUAGAUGCAAGUAUAAAUGAUAUAAAAAUGCUACAGAAGCUACAAAACAAAGCUCUGAAAACAAUCUUGAAAUGUGACUGGUUCACACAUAGUAAAGACAUGUUUAGAUUAGACUGGCUAUCUGUAAAAAAAAAUAUUGUAAAAUAUCUGUAAAAAAAAAUUAUUACUUAAAAGUUCAAAAAAAGAAAAAUGGACAAAAGUCAAUUCUUUGCAACGGUAUAAAAUUAAAUACCAUAAAUUACCAAAUGAAUUGAAGUUGCUUGACAAGAAAGGACUCAAAAAUUUAAAUGUGAAACACACAAAAGAAAAGGGAUGUUUAUAAAUAGUAAUUUCGCGGAAUUUAUAAAUAGUAGUUUCACGCAACUCUUUUUAUUGUGAUUUUUAUUGUGAUUUUAAAUAGCAUUUAAACGAGCUAAAUAUAUAAAAUUAAGGUCGACGCUGUCGAAAACAGUCUAAAAUAGCCCCUGAUAAGAUUAUAUUUUGUUUAUGUUACGAUCUCAUUUUUAAUGUUUCCAAACAAUUAUCGACAACGACAGAAUACCAAAUGUCACAGCUUAAAGGUGAAAAGGUUUCCACAGGUUUCUGUUUCAAAUAACAAUAGGAAACUCAAACCUGUUGCGACUGAAUUGGUAGUUAAUCAAGAGCAGCUAUUAAACGAUGUUGAAGUAAGAAAAAUAUAAUUUAUGGAUUUAAGCAAUAACUAUAUUACUUAGAUAUUCUUGUAAACAGCUUUUCUCCUAAUUUAUUCCAAUUUUUAUUAGGGUAAUUUUUAUAGCUCUUGUAUAUGUUUAAAAUUGACUAGUACUUUUCAUUUUAGAAUGAAUUAAAAAAAAAACCUACACAGCCAACCUUGUCCAUUUUAAAUAGACAACUAUUUAAUAAUGAGACAUUCAGUAUGAUGCCAAAGAGAAUUAGUUUUGCUCCUACACUAAUGCUAGAGGAAGCAAUUUGUUUUUAUGCUGGUUUCAAGGAUGCUAGAGUCAAGAUACACGCAAUGUUGUUUUGGAUUUCUCCUGAGUCUGGUAACCACACUGACAAUUUGUUAAAGCUCCAGCAGAAACUUAAUCCCAAGAAGACAUGUGAUAAAUUGUUUAUGAAAGUGGAUGCAAGUUUAUCACCUAAAUUUUUGAAUUUAUUUUAAAUUAAACAACAACAUACAUGUCUAUUUUACCAUGAAAUAGCAUACUUUUCUUUUCUGUUUCUUUUUUUUUGUAUUGGUAUAAUUCUUUUUUGAAAAUGAUAUUAAACUGGAAUGUGUGUGAAAAACUAGAAUACUUUAAAAAUUUUCACAAUAUUUUUUUGCAAUAUUAUUAUUUUACUAUUAUACUAUUAUAUAUGUUUUUAGUAUGACUCUAUUGGAGAAUACAUAUGAGUUCCAAGUUCUUAAGGUCGCUAAGUGAUUUUUAAUCACAAAGAGUAUGGCAUAAGAAGUCGACAGGACCUUGAGAUGGACACUCAGCCAUUAGUCAGUACCAGUGAGAUGGUGGUGAUUUUAGUUAUUGUAUAUUAUUUUUUGGACUUAUCAUAUCCAUCUUGUUUUGGGCAGUUGCUUGGUUUUUUUCAAGAGAUAUAUGGAUUUGAACAAUUUAUUUUUAUAUCAAAAAAGUACAAUGCACUGUUGAACUCUUUUUGACGUAUAAAGUUUGUUUGAAAUAUAUACGCAUGAUCCUGAACUACAUGAUACUAUAUUUAGAAUAAUUUAUAAUGAUUACAAACUAAUACUAAUAAAAGUAUUAAAAAAGCAUUUGAACUGGACAUUAAUUACAUUUUAUCUUUAUAAAGAAAAAAAAGUCCUACACAACAUCCAAAAUGUAUGGAUAUAUAUGAAAAUAGUGAAUUGCGUGGUUAUGUUAUUUUCAUACAAAUUAUUCAUUGAACCUAACGUUAAUUACCCGUUAUAAAACAUGAAAACUGGCAUUAUGUUUUUUAAAAAUAUAACGGGUAAUUUUUUUACUGUGUAGUAUUGAUGAAGCUGUAUGACUUCAGAUGGCAAUGGCUUGUGGCUUUAAAUCAACUUUAGUUCAGUGUCUCGUGGCGAUAUUCAGGCUACAGUGUUAAUGUCUGGUGGCGAUAUUCAGGUUACAGUGUUAAUGUCUGGUGGCGAUAUUCAGGCUACAGUGUUAAUGUCUGGUGGCGAUAUUCAGGCUAGAUUUUAUAAAGUUUAUAAAUUUACUUUUAAAGAACCUUUGAAAUUUACUGCUUAAAAAUGUUGUAAUUGCUUUUUUUUUUUUACUUUUUAAUUCAACAAA